rnacentral:rRNA from 1 species
UGGUCAUUUAGAGGAAGUAAAAGUCGUAACAAGGUCUCCGUAGGUGAACCUGCGGAGGGAUCAUUACACAAUAAACAUAUGAAGGCUGCACCGCCAACAGGCGGCAAGGCUGGAGUAUUUUAUUACCCUUGUCUUUUGCGCACUUGUUGUUUCCUGGGCGGGUUCGCCCGCCUCCAGGACCACAUGAUAAACCUUUUUUAUGCAGUUGCAAUCAGCGUCAGUACAACAAAUGUAAAUCAUUUACAACUUUCAACAACGGAUCUCUUGGUUCUGGCAUCGAUGAAGAACGCAGCGAAAUGCGAUACGUAGUGUGAAUUGCAGAAUUCAGUGAAUCAUCGAAUCUUUGAACGCACAUUGCGCCCUUUGGUAUUCCAAAGGGCAUGCCUGUUCGAGCGUCAUUUGUACCCUCAAGCUUUGCUUGGUGUUGGGCGUUUUUUGUCUUUGGUUUUGUCCAAAGACUCGCCUUAAAACGAUUGGCAGCCGGCCUACUGGUUUCGCAGCGCAGCACAUUUUUGCGCUUGCAAUCAGCAAAAGAGGACGGCACUCCAUCAAGACUCUAUAUCACUUUUGACCUCGGAUCAGGUAGGGAUACCCGCUGAACUUAAGCAUAUCAAUAAGCGGAGGA